UACGUAGGGUGCGAGCGUUGUCCGGAAUUAUUGGGCGUAAAGAGCUUGUAGGCGGUUUGUCGCGUCUGCUGUGAAAACCCGCAGCUCAACUGUGGGCUUGCAGCUGAUACGGGCAGGCUUGAGUUCGGUAGGGGAGACUGGAAUUCCUGGUGUAGCGGUGAAAUGCGCAGAUAUCAGGAGGAACACCGGUGGCGAAGGCGGGUCUCUGGGCCGAUACUGACGCUGAGGAGCGAAAGCGUGGGGAGCGAACAGG
rnacentral:rRNA from 1 species